AGUUUGAUCAUGGCUCGGAUUGAACGCUGGCGGGAUGCUUUACAUGCAAGUCGAACGGCAGCACGGACUUCGGUCUGGUGGCGAGUGGCGAACAGGUGAGUAAUGUAUCGGAACGUGCUAGUAGCGGGGGAUAACUACGCGAGGCUGGCUAAUACCACAUACGCCCUUCGAGGAAAACAGGGGACCUUCAGGCCUCAGCACUCGUGGAAGCAGCCGAUAUCGGAUUAGCUAGUUGGUGGGGUAACGGCUCGCAAGGCGACGAUCCGUAGCUGGUUUGAGACGUGAAAGCCACGCUGGGACUGAGACGGCCCAGACUCCUACGGGGAGGCGGCGGUGGGGGAAUUUUGGACAAUGAAACCAGGUCAGCCAUCCCGCGUAUUACGUGUUGAAGGCCUUCGGGUUGUAAAGCACCUGGCGGAAAGAAGCGGCGCAGGAUAAUAUCCCGUGCAACUGACUGACCUGCAGAAUAAGCACCGGCCUUCCACGUGCCAGCAGCCCGCGGUAAUACGUAGGGUGCAAGCGUUAAUCGGAAUUACUGGGGCGCUAAAGCGUGCACCCGACGGUUCGGAAAAAGAUGUGAAAUCCGGAGCUUAACUUUAGAACACCAUUUUAACUACCGAGCUAGAGUGUGUCAGAGGGAGGUGGAAUUCCGCAUGUAGCAGUGAAAUGCGUAGAUAUGCGGAGGAACACCGAUAGCGAAGGCGGCCUCCUGGGGAUAACACUGACGCUCAUGCACAAAAGCGUGGGGAGCAAACAGGAUUAGAUACCCUGGUAGUCCACGCCCUAAACGAUGUCAACUAGCUGUUGGGGCCUUCUGGCCUUGGUAUGCAACCCAACGCGUGAAGUUGACCGCCUGGGGUACGGUCGCAAGAUUUAAAAACUCAAAGGAAUUGACGGGACCGCCUAAGCGGUGGAUGAUGUGGAUUAAUUCGAUGCAACGCGAAAACCCACUACCCUUUGACUGUCUGAUCCCGAAGAGAUUUGGGAGUGCUCGCAAGAGAACCGGAACACAGGUGCUGCAUGGCUGUCGUCAGCUCGUGUCGUGGAAGAUGUUAGGUUGAUCCUGGCAUGAAGCGCAGCCACUUGUCAUUGAUUGCUACGAAAGGGCACUCAUGAGACUGCCGGUGACAAACCGGAGGAAGGUGGGGAUGACGUCAAGUCCUCAUGGCCCUUAUGGGUAGGGCUUCACGCAUCUUGCAGCUGGAUGGGACAUGGUCGCCAACCCGCGAGAGAGUCAAUCCCAAGGCCCGAUCGUAGUCCGGAUCAUGAUCUGCAACUCUGACUACGUGAAGUCGGGAUCGUGCUAGUAAUCGCGGAUCGUAUGUCGCGGUGAAUACGUUCCCGGGUCUUGUACACACCGCCCGUGCUACCAUGGGAAUUGGGUUUUACCAGAAAUGAUUAGCCCUAUUCGUAAGGAGGCGAUUACCACGGUAGGAUUCAUGACUGGGGUGAAAUUAACAAGGUA
rnacentral:rRNA from 1 species